rnacentral:rRNA from 1 species
AGAGUUUGAUUCUGGCUCAGGAUGAACGCUAGCUACAGGCUUAACACAUGCAAGUCGAGGGGCAGCAGAUCGAAAGCUUGCUUUGAUGCUGGCGACCGGCGCACGGGUGAGUAACGCGUAUCCAACCUUCCCUAUAGUAGAGAAUAGCCCGGCGAAAGUCGGAUUAAUGCUCUAUGUUGUAUUUAGAGGACAUCUGAAGAAUACCAAAGGUUUACCGCUAUAGGAUGGGGAUGCGUCUGAUUAGGUAGUAGGCGGGGUAACGGCCCACCUAGCCGACGAUCAGUAGGGGUUCUGAGAGGAAGGUCCCCCACAUUGGAACUGAGACACGGUCCAAACUCCUACGGGAGGCAGCAGUGAGGAAUAUUGGUCAAUGGACGGAAGUCUGAACCAGCCAAGUAGCCGUGCAGGAUGACGGCCCUAUGGGUUGUAAACUGCUUUUAUAUAGGGAUAAAGUCGGGGACGUGUCCCCGUUUGUAGGUACUAUAUGAAUAAGGACCGGCUAAUUCCGUGCCAGCAGCCGC